rfam:Ipomoea nil DNA, scaffold: scaffold2701, cultivar: Tokyo-kokei standard.
CUGACCUUAGCUCAGUGGGUAGAGUGGUGGACUGUAGUUGGACAAAUCUAAAUUGGAAAUCCUUAGGUCGCUGGUUUGAUUCCGGCAGGUUGGA